rnacentral:rRNA from 1 species
GACGAACGCUGGCGGCGUGCCUAAUACAUGCAAGUCGAACGAGAGCGACCGGUGCUUGCACUGGUCAAUCUAGUGGCGAACGGGUGAGUAACACGUGGGUAACCUGCCCAUCAGAGGGGGAUAACAUCCGGAAACGGAUGCUAAAACCGCAUAGGUCUUCGAGCCGCAUGGCUUGAAGAGGAAAAGAGGCGCACGCUUCUGCUGAUGGAUGGACCCGCGGUGCAUUAGCUAGUUAGUGAGGUAACGGCUCACCAAGGCCGUGAUGCAUAGCCGACCUGAGAGGGUGAUCGGCCACAUUGGGACUGAGACACGGCCCAAACUCCUACGGGAGGCAGCAGUAGGGAAUCUUCCGCAAUGGACGCAAGUCUGACGGAGCAACGCCGCGUGAGUGAAGAAGGUUUUCGGAUCGUAAAACUCUGUUGUUAGAGAAGAACAAGUGCUAGAGUAACUGUUAGCGCCUUGACGGUAUCUAACCAGAAAGCCACGGCUAACUACGUG